AAUAGAUACCCAGGUAGUCCACGCCGUAAACGAUGAGUGCUAAGUGUUAGAGGGUUUCCGCCCUUUAGUGCUGAAGUUAACGCAUUAAGCACUCCGCCUGGGGAGUACGGCCGCAAGGCUGAAACUCAAAGGAAUUGACGGGGGCCCGCACAAGCGGUGGAGCAUGUGGUUUAAUUCGAAGCAACGCGAAGAACCUUACCAGGUCUUGACAUCCUCUGACAACCCUAGAGAUAGGGCUUCUCCUUCGGGAGCAGAGUGACAGGUGGUGCAUGGUUGUCGUCAGCUCGUGUCGUGAGAUGUUGGUUAAGUCCGCAACGAGCGCAACCUUGAUCUUAGUUGCCAUCUAUUAAGUUGGCACUCUAAGGUGACUGCGGUGAC
rnacentral:rRNA from 1 species